UCCCUCUCUGGGUUGCACCUGGAGAGUUUCCAGUUCUCUCCCCGUCUUGACUGCGGGAGGGAGAGUCAAGCAGAGACCUAACCAUUCCAUUCCUAGCUUGGCCAGGGGCUAGGGAGUGGAAGGCAAUCUGCUACAAGU
rfam:Ornithorhynchus anatinus chromosome 1, whole genome shotgun sequence.